UACGUAGGGUCCGAGCGUUGUCCGGAAUUAUUGGGCGUAAAGGGCUCGUAGGCGGUUUGUUGCGUCGGGAGUGAAAACUUACAGCUUAACUGUGAGCGUGCUUCCGAUACGGGCAGACUUGAGGUAUUCAGGGGAGAACGGAAUUCCUGGUGUAGCGGUGAAAUGCGCAGAUAUCAGGAGGAACACCGGUGGCGAAGGCGGUUCUCUGGGAAUAUCCUGACGCUGAGGAGCGAAAGUGUGGGGAG
rnacentral:rRNA from 1 species